rnacentral:rRNA from 1 species
AGUGAACGCUAGCGGUAGGCCUAACACAUGCAAGUCGAACGGCAGCACAGUAAGAGCUUGCUCUUACGGGUGGCGAGUGGCGGACGGGUGAGGAAUACAUCGGAAUCUACUUUUUCGUGGGGGAUAACGUAGGGAAACUUACGCUAAUACCGCAUACGACCUACGGGUGAAAGCAGGGGAUCUUCGGACCUUGCGCGAUUGAAUGAGCCGAUGUCGGAUUAGCUAGUUGGCGGGGUAAAGGCCCACCAAGGCGACGAUCCGUAGCUGGUCUGAGAGGAUGAUCAGCCACACUGGAACUGAGACACGGUCCAGACUCCUACGGGAGGCAGCAGUGGGGAAUAUUGGACAAUGGGCGCAAGCCUGAUCCAGCCAUACCGCGUGGGUGAAGAAGGCCUUCGGGUUGUAAAGCCCUUUUAUUGGGAAAGAAAAACAGCAGGUUAAUACCCCGCUGUUCUGACGGUACCCAAAGAAUAAGCACCGGCUAACUUCGUG